GUGAUAUUCGUUUCAGCAUAAGUGCAACGUCCGAAUCUGACGCUCCUCCAAUCCUCAAUGCCUUUGAGAUUUAUAAAUUCGUAUCACCACUAACUUCCCCAACAAACCAAAUAGAUGUGGUUGCCAUUCUGGACGUCAAGAUCACAUACAAAAUCUCCAAAGCAGACUGGCAAGGUGACCCAUGUGUUCCCAAUGAAUAUGCAUGGGAGGGACUUAGCUGUAGAUAUGGAAUCGAUGAGUCCAACGCAAGGAUCACCUCAUUAAACUAGAGUAGGAGCAGGUUAGCAGA